rnacentral:rRNA from 1 species
UACAGAGGGUGCGAGCGUUAUCCGGAAUCACUGGGCGUAAAGGGCGCGUAGGCGGUCCGGUAAGCGUGUGGUGAAAGCUCGGGGCUCAACCCCGCGUCGGCCAUGCGAACUGCGGGACUGGAGCAUGUCAGAGGCAGGCGGAAUUCCGGGUGUAGCGGUGGAAUGCGUAGAGAUCCGGAAGAACACCGGUGGCGAAGGCGGCCUGCUGGGACAUUGCUGACGCUGAGGCGCGACAGCGUGGGGAGCAAACAGG